rnacentral:rRNA from 1 species
AUGAAGAGGGCCGCGCCGUCGAAGGAUCCGGUGGAGCUCUCUUCCGGCGACGACCUGAGCUCGGAUUCCGACGAGGAGGCCGGGAACGGGAAAGGCGAGAACUCCUUCCGGCUGCCCAUGUCCUCCAAAUCUGCAGCUCCAGCAAAAGGUGCAUUGAUUAGGAGGGCUGAAAUGUAUCAAGAGUACAUGAAGCACAUCCCAAUUCCUAAUCACUGCAGCUCCUUGAUCCCAUCCACAUCAUGGCUGGGACUCGGAAGAUCAGUGAAGCAGUUGUACGAGCAGCCCUUGCAUUAG